rnacentral:rRNA from 1 species
GGGUUGUGAGGUUAAGCGACUAAGCGUACACGGUGGAUGCCCUGGCAGUCAGAGGCGAUGAAGGGCGUGCUAAUCUGCGAUAAGCGCCGGUAAGGUGAUAUGAACCGUUAUAACCGGCGAUACCCGAAUGGGGAAACCCAGUGUGAYUCGUCACACUAUCAUUAACUGAAUCCAUAGGUUAAUGAGGCGAACCGGGGGAACUGAAACAUCUAAGUACCCCGAGGAAAAGAAAUCAACCGAGAUUCCCCCAGUAGCGGCGAGCGAACGGGGAGGAGCCCAGAGCCUGAAUCAGCAUGUGUGUUAGUGGAAGCGUCUGGAAAGGCGCGCGAUACAGGGUGACAGCCCCGUACACAAAAGCGCAUGUGCUGUGAGCUCGAUGAGUAGGGCGGGACACGUGGUAUCCUGUCUGAAUAUGGGGGGACCAUCCUCCAAGGCUAAAUACUCCUGACUGACCGAUAGUGAACCAGUACCGUGAGGGAAAGGCGAAAAGAACCCCGGCGAGGGGAGUGAAAAAGAACCUGAAACCGUGUACGUACAAGCAGUGGGAGCGGCAACACUAACUGGAGGACCGAACCGACUAAUGUUGAAAAAUUAGCGGAUGACCUGUGGCUGGGGGUGAAAGGCCAAUCAAACCGGGAGAUAGCUGGUUCUCCCCGAAAGCUAUUUAGGUAGCGCCUCGUGAAUUCAUCUCCGGGGGUAGAGCACUGUUUCGGCU